rnacentral:tRNA from 1 species
GGGAGUUUGGCCGAGUGGUUAAGGCGCUGUGUUUAGGUUAUCCGUAACAGGUACUUGAAUCCCGCAGUGGGAAACCGCGCAGGUUCGAAUCCUGCAGCUCUCA